UCAUUCGAAUUUGCCAUCAUACGCCCAACCAUGCAUUUGAUAUGCAUAUAUAUGCAUCACGAGCCAAGGUAGGGCUGUAUGAUGGCGAUACCGAUUGG
rfam:Triticum aestivum genome assembly, contig: Triticum_aestivum_CS42_TGACv1_scaffold_485537_6AS